rnacentral:lncRNA from 1 species
GGAAUCACGGGCGUUGCGCUUCGGAUCGGUGGCGGCGAAGACGGUGUAGACGAGGACGAAGGUACCGAUGAUCUCGGCGGCGAGGCCGGUGCCCUUGGAGUAGCCGGCGCUGAGCUCGUUGGCGCCGCCACCGUAGCGGACGAAGUAGGCCUCUUGGAAUCCCUUGACGAGGCCGACUCCGCAUAUGGCUCCCAGGCACUGCGCCACCAUGUAGAGGAGGGCGCGGACCAGCGAGACCUUGCGCGCCAAGAAUAGCCCCAGCGUCACCGCCGGGUUGAUGUGCCCACCUGCAUGCGCCGCAUCGCCCACACGAGCGCCGUCAGCAAAUGCAUACUUACCGUAGAGACUGCAAGCAACGAGUACUGUCGCAAAGCAAAGGGACGAACCGGAGAUGCCGGCGGUGCAGUAGACGAGAAUAAAGAUCAUGCCGCCGAAGGCCCACGCGAUGCCGAGGAUCCCGACGCCGCUACACGCGGCGUCGGCCGGGUUCACGUUGGGGUCCGACUGGUGCUUGUACCCGAUCACGGUCGCCACCGUGACGUACAGGAACAGCAUCGUCGCGACGAACUCCGCGAUCGCCGCGCGGUACAACGACCACUUGGUCAGCUCCUCCGCGUCGAUGAGCGGCGCCGGCGGUGGGUCAGUGUAGUCCUUGCCUCCGUACUCGCCGCGUCCUGCCACCUCGGUAUCCUUCGCCAUCGAUGCAGUUGCGAACCAGAGGACAAGUAGUAGCACUUGUAAGCUGUGCGCUUGGAAGGAGGGAGAGUUGGAGCUAUUUAUGGGCCACGGGUGACGAACAGUAGCAGCAGGAGAGCUGGUUCUCUCCGUGCAAUCUUGCUACCGAUGGAUUGAGGUUUAGGGUUAUAAUAUGCCGCCCCUGACCGACCAAAUCCUCAUCGGUGGAUCAUCAUCGCAGUUCAUCAACCCAUUGUCGGCCCCACCACGCAGUACUAUUCCAAGUCAGAUGCUCGACCACCGCCGGUACGUGAGAGGGAUGCUAUAUGCCUGUGUCGGCUGUGUCGUUUCUUCCAUUGAUGGAAGUAAUGGCAGCAGGGUAUGGCAAAGACUAGGGGCUCGCAGUAAUCUCACACAGACGCAGGUGACCGGUGAUAUGACCGAUUAAAGGCGAAGCACUGUGAUCAACGCAAAUUUGUCGAGGACGGUUAUUAUUCACAGCCCGUUUCGCCACGUGGGUGAAAGGGGACCUCCGGCUUAAGAAACGAGCGAAAUAAGAGAGAGCCACGUGGAUGGCUCAAGAGGAAGUGGCGGUCGGCGGCGCCCGGACACGGAACCAAUCCGGGGUUCGAUAGUUUAGAUUUUGUUGUUGGAUUUUUGCGUCGGUUAAGUUGGCUUGUGGCCCGCGUUUAAUAGGCGGUGCGGA